rnacentral:rRNA from 1 species
GAAACCGUGUGCUUACAAGUAGUCAGAGCCCGUUAAUGGGUGAUGGCGUGCCUUUUGUAGAAUGAACCGGCGAGUUACGAUCUGAUGCAAGGUUAAGCAGAAAAUGUGGAGCCGUAGCGAAAGCGAGUCUGAAUAGGGCGAAUGAGUAUUUGGUCGUAGACCCGAAACCAGGUGAUCUACCCUUGGUCAGGUUGAAGUUCAGGUAACACUGAAUGGAGGACCGAACCGACUUACGUUGAAAAGUGAGCGGAUGAACUGAGGGUAGCGGAGAAAUUCCAAUCGAACUUGGAGAUAGCUGGUUCUCUCCGAAAUAGCUUUAGGGCUAGCCUCAAGUGAUGAUUAUUGGAGGUAGAGCACUGUUUGGACGAGGGGCCCCUCUCGGGUUACCGAAUUCAGACAAACUCCGAAUGCCAAAUAAUUUAACUUGGGAGUCAGAAUGUGGGUGAUAAGGUCCAUAUUCGAAAGGGAAACAGCCCAGACCACCAGCUAAGGUCCCAAAAUAUAUGUUAAGUGGAAAAGGAUGUGGCGUUGCCCAGACAACUAGGAUGUUGGCUUAGAAGCAGCCAUCAUUUAAAGAGUGCGUAAUAGCUCACUAGUCGAGUGACACUGCGCCGAAAAUGUACCGGGGCUAAACAUAUUACCGAAGCUGUGGAUUGUCCUUUGGACAAUGGUAGGAGAGCGUUCUAAGGGCGUUGAAGCAUGAUCGCAAGGACAUGUGGAGCGCUUAGAAGUGAGAAUGCCGGUGUGAGUAGCGAAAGACGGGUGAGAAUCCCGUCCACCGAUUGACUAAGGUUUCCAGAGGAAGGCUCGUCCGCUCUGGGUUAGUCGGGUCCUAAGCUGAGGCCGACAGGCGUAGGCGAUGGAUAACAGGUUGAUAUUCCUGUACCACCAUUAUUCGUUUUAAGCGAUGGGGGGACGCAGUAGGAUAGGCGAAGCGUGCUGUUGGAGUGCACGUCCAAGCAGUGAGAUUGAGUGUUAGGCAAAUCCGGCACUCUUAAGAUUGAGCUGUGAUGGGGAGAGGAACUUGUUCCUCGAGUCGUUGAUUUCACACUGCCGAGAAAAGCCUCUAGCUAGAAUAACGGUGCCCGUACCGCAAACCGACACAGGUAGUCAAGAUGAGAAUUCUAAGGUGAGCGAGCGAACUCUCGUUAAGGAACUCGGCAAAAUGACCCCGUAACUUCGGGAGAAGGGGUGCUCUUUGAGGUUCACGCUUCGAAGAGCCGCAGUGAAUAGGCCCAAGCGACUGUUUAUCAAAAACACAGGUCUCUGCUAAACCGUAAGGUGACGUAUAGGGGCUGACGCCUGCCCGGUGCUGGAAGGUUAAGAGGAGUGGUUAGCGCAAGCGAAGCUACGAAUCGAAGCCCCAGUAAACGGCGGCCGUAACUAUAACGGUCCUAAGGUAGCGAAAUUCCUUGUCGGGUAAGUUCCGACCCGCACGAAAGGCGUAACGAUUUGGGCACUGUCUCAACGAGAGACUCGGUGAAAUCAUAGUACCGGUGAAGAUGCCGGUUACCCGCGACAGGACGGAAAGACCCCGUGGAGCUUUACUGUAGCCUGAUAUUGAAAUUCGGUACAGUUUGUACAGGAUAGGUAGGAGCCUUAGAAGCGUGAGCGCUAGCUUACGUGGAGGCAUUGGUGGGAUACUACCCUAAUUGUAUUGGAUUUCUAACCCGCAGCACUUAUCGUGCUGGGAGACAGUGUCAGGCGGGCAGUUUGACUGGGGCGGUCGCCUCCUAAAGAGUAACGGAGGCGCUCAAAGGUUCCCUCAGAAUGGUUGGAAAUCAUUCAUAGAGUGUAAAGGCAUAAGGGAGCUUGACUGCGAGACCUACAAGUCGAGCAGGGUCGAAAGACGGACUUAGUGAUCCGGUGGUUCCGCAUGGAAGGGCCAUCGCUCAACGGAUAAAAGCUACCCCGGGGAUAACAGGCUUAUCUCCCCCAAGAGUUCACAUCGACGGGGAGGUUUGGCACCUCGAUGUCGGCUCAUCGCAUCCUGGGGCUGUAGUCGGUCCCAAGGGUUGGGCUGUUCGCCCAUUAAAGCGGUACGCGAGCUGGGUUCAGAACGUCGUGAGACAGUUCGGUCCCUAUCCGUCGUGGGCGUAGGAAAUUUGAGAGGAGCUGUCCUUAGUACGAGAGGACCGGGAUGGACAUACCUCUGGUGUACCAGUUGUCGUGCCAACGGCAUAGCUGGGUAGCUAUGUAUGGACGGGAUAAGUGCUGAAAGCAUCUAAGCAUGAAGCCCCCCUCGAGAUGAGAUUUCCCAACUUCGGUUAUAAGAUCCCUCAAAGAUGAUGAGGUGAAUAGGUUCGAGGUGGAAGCGUAGCGAUACGUGGAGCUGACGAAUACUAAUCGAUCGAAGACUUAAUCAA